AGCGAACGCUGGCGGCAGGCCUAACACAUGCAAGUCGAACGAACCUUUCGGGGUUAGUGGCGGACGGGUGAGUAACACGUGGGAACGUGCCUUUAGGUUCGGAAUAACUCAGGGAAACUUGUGCUACUACCGAAUGUGCCCUUCGGGGGAAAGAUUAAUCGCCUUUAGAGCGGCCCGCGUCUGAUUAGCUAGUUGGUUGAGGUAAUGGCUCACCAAGGCGACGAUCAGUAGCUGGUCUGAGAGGAUGAUCAGCCACAUUGGGACUGAGACACGGCCCAAACUCCUACGGGAGGCAGCAGUGGGGAAUCUUGCGCAAUGGGCGAAAGCCUGACGCAGCCAUGCCGCGUGAAUGAUGAAGGUCUUAGGAUUGUAAAAUUCUUUCACCGGGGACGAUAAUGACGGUACCCGGAGAAGAAGCCCCGGCUAACUUCGUG
rnacentral:rRNA from 1 species